GAGCCUGAGAAGUAAAAGAAGGAGAAGGAGGAGCCGUUUGCCCCGCAGGCGUAAAGGGCAAGGAGCUGCUUAAGGGCUGUUUCCGGAGGAGGAGCUGGAUCAGCUGCGUGCGUGGACAGUGAGGAUGAGGACGACUGGGAUGAACCGUCUGUGUUGCAGAUGCAGAGAAGGAAGAUUUGGAGGAGCUGUUUGUCACGGUGCCUUGGAGGAGGUGGAGGCAAGAAAUGUAAUGCCUUGGAGGAGGAGGAGGAGGAGGGGUCUGGUGCGCUGGCCCGGCUGAUAAAACGGGUGAGUGAAAAAGCGGAGAGUGCAAAUAAAUGGGGAGAAGCCUGGCCUAAAUUCUAAUCCCGUUGCCAACAUCUGGCCGGGAGUAAAAUUGUUCUGAGGAGGCUAAUCUCGUUUAUAGCGCUCCUGAGCUCCUGGCUGAUUAUUUUUAACCUGCGCUGAAGGAGGUUCCCUAGGUAUUGAGUUGCUGGAGUGUGUUGACCCUGGGAACAGAGAGUUGCACAGAUAGUCCUGUGUUGUCUGUGUAGCAAACAUACGUGAUGUAAAUUAAAGUUGGGACAUCAGUCACUGAGUUUCAAGAAGCGAUAACACCCAGAUGGCACUAACAACGUGUUCCUAGCAAGGAUUUUGACAGGAGCCUGGCUUGCUACCUGUUCUGAAGGCUUCAAAGUGGUACAUGUUGCAUAAACCUUGCCCUGUCCCUAAACAAAGGGGGCCAAAGCCAAAGGGGGAUUUGGCUUGACUGGUGUGAGAUUCGCAGGACACAUGCCCACGCGCCGUGUAACAUGUCCCGUUGCUCAGUCCGCCUUGCCCACCGCAGUCCUGCCUUCUCGCGUUACGGAGCUGCAGAAUCGUGUUUAUUCUCUACCCUUCUUCCCAAGUACAUCAGAUGAUCAAGUUCUCCUUAAAUUUUACAAAAUUAGAUAAUCCAACCCUAAGACAUACUUAACCAUGGAUUUCAGACCAAAAAAUGGAAGUUCUGGAAAUCCUUUAUCCCAACAGAAACUACAGCCAGAAGAAUCCUCACAUGAUCAGUUCCAUCCCACCCUUUCCUCCAUCCCCAAAUACGUCAGCUUAGAAAACAAGAUGCACAGAAAAACACCAAUGCAUGGCAGAGUUUGGGUAUGCAGAAAACAGAACAACCCUCAGAUUAUUUCCGUCAACUACUUCCAUGUUCAUAUAAGGUACAAGUUUGCAACUCUCUUCUACUUCAUCUGGAACAAGAUUCAGUAG
rnacentral:lncRNA from 1 species